AAUAUUGCGCAAUGGACGAAAGUCUGACGCAGCGACGCCGCGUGUGGGAUGACGGUCUUCGGAUUGUAAACCACUGUCGGGAGGGACGAAUACGCCGCAAGGCGGGUGACGGUACCUCCAAAGGAAGCACCGGCUAACUCCGUGCUAGCAGCCGCGGUAAUACGGAGGGUGCGAGCGUUGUCCGGAAUCACUGGGCGUAAAGGGCGCGUAGGCGGCCUGAUAAGUAGGGGGUGAAAUCCUGCGGCUUAACCGCAGGGCUGCCUUCUAAACUGUCAGGCUUGAGCACAGUAGAGGCAGGUGGAAUUCCCGGUGUAGCAGUGAAAUGCGUAGAGAUCGGGAGGAACAUCUGUGGCGAAGGCGGCCAUCUGGACCAGCACUGACACUGAGGCACGAAAGCGUGGGGAGCAAAC
rnacentral:rRNA from 1 species